rnacentral:rRNA from 1 species
CCCUUAGAUGUUCUGGGCCGCACGCGCGCUACACUGAUGCAUUCAACAAGUUUUACCUUGGCCGAGAGGCCUGGGAAAUCUUUCAAAUAUGUAUCGUGAUAGGGAUAGAUUAUUGCAAUUAUUAAUCUUGAACGAGGAAUUCCUAGUAAAUGCAGAUCAUCAUUCUGCGUUGAUUACGUCCCUGCCCUUUGUACACACCGCCCGUCGCACCUACCGAUUGAAUGAUCCGGUGAAGCCUCGGGAUUGUGCCCAGAGAACUUUAUCGUGAUUUGGGUGUGAGAACUUGUCUAAACCUUAUCAUUUAGAGGAAGGUGAAGUCGUAACA